rnacentral:snoRNA from 1 species
AAGGCAGCUCCAGCGCACCUUGGAAGCCAGUGCUUUUCCAUGGUGCGUAUCCUGCUGCCAAGAUUG